UACGAAGGGGGCUAGCGUUGCUCGGAAUUACUGGGCGUAAAGGGCGCGUAGGCGGCACAGCAAGUCGGGAGUGAAAGCCCGGGGCUCAACCCCGGAACUGCUUCGAAACUGCUGAGCUAGAGUACAGAAGGGGCAACCGGAAUUCCCAGUGUAGCGGUGAAAUGCGUAGAUAUUGGGAGGAACACCAGUAGCGAAGGCGGACGAUCUGGCCCAACAU
rnacentral:rRNA from 1 species